GACGAACGCUGGCGGCGUGCUUAACACAUGCAAGUCGAGCGGAAAGGCCCUUCGGGGUACUCGAGCGGGGAACGGGUGAGUAAGACGUUAAUAACCUGCCCUAGACUUUGGGAUAACGCGCGGAAACGGGGGCUAAUACCGGAUACUCCUUCUAAAUCGCAAAACGUGGGUGGCAAUGGUUUGCGGUCUGUGAUGGACUCGCUGUCGAUCAGCUUGUUGGUGGGGUAAUGGCUGACCAAGGCGAGGACGGGUAGCCGGCCUGUGAGGGCGACCGGCCACACUGGUACUGAGAGACGGCCCAGACUGCUACGGGAGGCAGCAGGCGAGAAUAUUGCACAAUGGGCGGAAGUCUGAUGCAGCGACGCCGCGUUAGGGAUGACGGCCUUCGGGUUGUAAACCUCUUUCAGCAGGGACGAAGCGUAAGUGACGGUACCUGCACAAGAAGCGACGGCCAACUACGUG
rnacentral:rRNA from 1 species